rnacentral:rRNA from 1 species
CCGAUAGGCGAGGAAUCCUGGAAUGGUUCUUCACCCAAAGGACAUUGGAAACAUGCUUUCUCUGUCGCCUGGGGAUGGGGCCGCGUCCGAUCAGGUUGUUGGUGAGGUAAUGGCUCACCAAGCCUUUAACCGGUACGGGCCGUGAGAGCGGUAGCCCGGAGAUGGGUACUGAGACAAGGACCCAGGCCCUACGGGGCGCAGCAGUCGCGAAAACUCCGCAAUGCACGAAAGUGUGACGGGGCUACCCUGAGUGCCGUCCGCCGAGGAUGGCUUUUCCUUGGUGUAACUAGCCGGGGGAAUAAGGAGAGGGCAAGACUGGUAUCAGCCGCCGCGGUAAUACCAGCUCUCCGAGUGGUAGGGAUGAUUAUUGGGCUUAAAGCGUCCGUAGCCGGCUUAGCAAGUUUCCUGUUAAAUUCAGCGACCUAAUCGUUGAGCCGCGGGAAAUACUACUAGGCUAGGAGGCGGGAGAGGUCGACGGUACCUCUGGGGUAGGGGUGAAAUCCUAUAAUCCCGGGAGGACCACCAGUGGCGAAGGCUGUCGACUAGAACGCGCUCGACGGUGAGGGACGAAAGCUGGGGGAGCGAACCGGAUUAGAUACCCGGGUAGUCCCAGCUGUAAACGAUGCGGGCUAGGUGUUGGGGUGGCUACGUGCCACUUCAGUGCCGCAGGGUAGCCAUUAAGCCCGCCGCCUGGGGAGUACGGCCGCAAGGCUGAAACUUAAAGGAAUUGGCGGGGGAGCACCACAAGGCGUGAGGCUUGCGGUUCAAUUGGAUUCAACGCCGGA